rnacentral:rRNA from 1 species
CGAUAGUGAAACAGUACCGUGAGGGAAAGGUGAAAAGAACCCCGGGAGGGGAGUGAAAUAGAACAUGAAAUCGUGAGUUUACAAGCAGUAGGAGAGCGACUUAACGCUCAACUUCGUGCCUGUUGAAGAAUGAGCUGGCGACUUGUAGGUUGUGGCAAGGUUAAGAUAAGAGAAUAUCGGAGCCAUAGUGAAAGCGAGCCUGAAAAGGGCUUUAAGUCAUAAUUUACAGACCCGAACCCGGAUGAUCUAACCAUGGCCAGUGUGAAGCUUAGGUAACACUAAGUGGAGGUACCAACCGACUGUUGUUGAAAAAUCAGCGGAUGAGUUGUGGUUAGGGGUGAAAUUCCAAUCGAAUCCGGAGCUAGCUGGAUCUCCCCGAAAUGCGUUGAGGCGCAGCGGUUAAUAUUUCUUCUUAGGGGUAAAGCUACUGUUUUGGUGCGGGCUGCGAGAGUGGUACCAAAUCAAGGCAAACUCU